UGGGGUGUGGCUCAGCGGUAGAGCACUCGCCUAGCACGUGGGAGGCACCGGGUUUGAUCCUCAACACCACAU
rnacentral:tRNA from 1 species